rnacentral:lncRNA from 1 species
UAGAUACCUUAGAUCAACAAGGGGUCUGCUUAGAAGGCCUUUUCAUAAGCAUCGACCAAGAUGAUUCCUCUGGGCAUCAUGAAUUUCCAGGCUUGGCCACAGUGAUGAUUAUUCUUUAAGCAAAAAUUCAUUUAUUUCUCUUCCUUGACCAACAUUUAUGUAGAUUGAAAUUUGAUGUCAAGCCUCAAGCUGGGAGUAACAGGAGGAAGUGAGCCUCUGGAAACUGCUGUUCUACCGAGGACUCGUGAUCGGCUGCACCUGGCUAGAUUCUGGACUAUCACUGCCCUUACCAGCCAGCUUCGGCCAGCUAAAGUCAGCUGCUCUUUGUGGUUGACAUAAAUUUCAUUUGACAUUUCUACUGACUUCAGAAACUUUUGCCAAUAGAACAUGUGAUGGGGAGACCAGUAUGAAAUACUGAACCUCCUCCUGCACGCCUCCACGCCCUUGUGUAACCUUCUGAUCAUUAUAUAUAUAUACACACACAUAUAUAUCAAUCUUUAUACACACACACAUACACUCACACACACACACACAUAUAUAUAUAUACAGUCCCUUCAGUGACACAGCAUCACCGUGACAGCCACUAUAGCAGCACUUGCAACCUAUCAGUGGUUCUUAAUUCUGGCUACAUCUUAGAAUCACCUAAGGAGCUUUAAAAAAAAUGGCAACGUGUGGGCUCCAUCCCAGACAAAUUGAAACCAAAUCUCUUUCACAGGUAAGACCUGAGUAUCAGAGCCUUUUAAAAGCCCUAGAGGUGAUUCUUAUGCACCAUGUGGGGCUGAGAAUCACUGUUACCAGGCAGGCAGUGAGGUAAUGCAGUUCCCCUACUGAAGUGCAGGUCUGUAAGAACUUGGUGUGCCAAAUGUAAAUUCUCAAGGCAGGGAUCCAGGCACUAAAUAAUGCCAUCAUUGUUUACAGUUCUGAUGGGACCUAAUCCAUCAUUUCAUCCAAUCUCCUUAGUUUUCACAUGUGUAAAUAACUCCAAAGAUGUGAGUUGCCAAGGUUACCUGAUUUGCUCUUCUCCCCAGAAGAUCUGAGAGCCCCUUCAGGCUGGGACCUCACAGCAGGGCACUGCUUUCUGGCAAAAGCCCUCCCUCUCCUGAUUGUCACUGGCCCAGCUUCAGGGGAAGGCGGCCCUUCUAGCACAAUGCCAGAUGUGGGCACCUUUCUAGCUAGGCCUCUCCUCACCCAGCUCAGCAGCCUUGCUCACCUGAGAUGAAUGCCUAUCAAGUCACAGAUGCCACCAAGAGGGCUGGUGCAGCAUCACUAAGAUCACACAGAAUGUGCCGCUGUGAUCAGGAUGUGAGCUGCCCCAAAACAAGAUGGGGCAACUGCAUUUCUGGAACUGCCAGAAAUAUUAAUUCAUAUCAUUACUACAAGUUCCUUCUUGAAGACUUCUGAGUAGACACUGGUUAGUAUUUACAAGGACAUUAAAAACCUCCCUCGGAACACGAACUUUCUUUUGUGUACACGCUGCGGCUUUCUUCCUUUGCACCCUCUCCCAAGGAAGCAAAGCCAGACAUGUUUCCUCAGCAGCUAAAUGCUGUUAUACCAGAAAUUCCACACUGCGCCACAGGCUGAUGGAACACAGGACGUGUGAUUUGUUUCCAAAGUGGCAGACUCAUAAAAGCUAAGCCUGUGCAGAAACACGCUGGGCAUGCAUAAAAAAUAAUGAGAUCAGGGAUGCCUCCGCAGGCAGGUAUCAGAGCAGAGACAGAAUCAGAAUUGCUGUGCUGGAAUUCGCUCAGAAGGUGCCUUUUACUAGUCCAUUUAAGGCCCAAAGAUAAAAAAAACAGCAUUGAUCUCCAAGGCCGCACAGCUAGAGGCAGAAGCAGGAUGAGGCCAUCAGAAAGGGUGGUGGCUGUUUCGGUCUUCCAAUUCAGUGUUUUCCUCACAAAUAUCAAUCCACCGCUUUUUAACUUUC